AGCAGGCGCAAGUGUUUGACUUGGUGAUCUGUCAGCAGAAUGUGUCCGUCCAGCCUGUGCUCCUGCUUCAAUUGAUUGGCCAAUAACGGCAGCACUCAUGUGAUUGAUUGGUGAAAUGGCUAAUUGCGGGGCUGGCAGGCAAGACUGGAUGGGCAAUGACAGCAGCAGAGUGGAGCGGGACGAGGAGAGAAAUCUUGAAAACACAGAGGAUAAGUGCAACUGAUUGCAAAAAUGGCAGUGCUAGUGUGAGCUGACUCAUAACACAUUUGGCAUACCAUUUUAAUGUCAGCUGCAGAAGCAGAAAAUAUCCACUGCGGAAGUGAUCGUUUAAAGAUCUAUAGAACGCACAAAAGAGUACUACAAGUAAAAAGGCAAAAGCCUGCCUUAAGGAAGUUGAAGUUGGAGAAAUAGUUGUUGUUGGCAUCAUCUGUCUCAAAAGACAAUGGAAAGAGCCUGGGUAUGAAAGUAUGAAAACUCUGAGUUACCUAGGCAUCAAAGUUUCCCUCUUGGUUUAGCCAGUGUGAUUCAAAGGAGAGUAAAUACGACAUUUGGCACUGGGUUGGCUGUAGGAUCUGCCAAAAGGAUGAUCUGUGGUCUAUCUAACUGUCUUAGUGCCUCCACUCCAAAUUUUCUGUCAGUAUUUACCUGCUCAACCACUGAUUUCCCCAAGAUGCUCAUAAGGCAGUGAGGCUGUUUUACCCAUAACUAGGAAGAUCCAAUGAGCUUUUAUGGCAGAGUGGGAAUUUGAAGCAAGAGACUCCUGGGUUCUAACCUAGUGAUCUUUACUAUUGUAUCAUUAGUGGGAUACAAAAUCUUUUUGUACUUAAGACUGGUUGCUCAGACUUUUUAGAAUGACAUCAAGCAAUGUAUGUNGAUAGUUAGUGCAAAGUAUUGAUGUUGACUUGGCA
rnacentral:lncRNA from 1 species